UACGUAGGGGGCAAGCGUUGUCCGGAAUCAUUGGGCGUAAAGCGCGUGUAGGCGGCCCGGUAAGUCCGCUGUGAAAGUCGGGGGCUCAACCCUCGAAAGCCGGUGGAUACUGUCGGGCUCGAGUACGGAAGAGGCGAGUGGAAUUCCUGGUGUAGCGGUGAAAUGCGCAGAUAUCAGGAGGAACACCUAUUGCGAAGGCAGCUCGCUGGGACGUCACUGACGCUGAGACGCGAAAGCGUGGGGAGCAAACAGG
rnacentral:rRNA from 1 species